rnacentral:rRNA from 1 species
AUAUUGGACAAUGGGCGCAAGCCUGAUCCAGCCAUGCCGCGUGAGUGAAGAAGGCCCUCGGGUUGUAAAGCUCUUUUGUCCGGAAAGAAAAGCAUCGGGUUAAUACCCCGGUGUUCUGACGGUACCGGAAGAAUAAGCACCGGCUAACUUCGUGCCAGCAGCCGCGGUAAUACGAAGGGUGCAAGCGUUACUCGGAAUUACUGGGCGUAAAGCGUGCGUAGGUGGUUCGUUAAGUCUGAUGUGGAAGCCCUGGGCUCAACCGGGGAAUGGCAUUGGAAACUGGCGGACUGGAGUGCGGUAGAGGGUAGCGGAAUUCCCGGUGUAGCAGUGAAAUGCGUAGAGAUCGGGAGGAACAUCCGUGGCGAAGGCGGCUACCUGGACCAGCACUGACACUGAGGCACGAAAGCGUGGGGAGCAAACA